CCGUUGCCGGCGACCGGCGCACGGGUGAGUAACACGUAUGCAACCUGCCCGUGGCAGGGGGAUAAGCGGGGAAACCCGUCUAAUACCGCGUAACGCGGCCUUGGGGCAUCCCAAGGCCGCCAAAGGGAGCAAUCCCGGCCACGGAUGGGCAUGCGGCGCAUUAGCUAGUCGGCGGGGUAACGGCCCACCGAGGCGACGAUGCGUAGGGGUUCUGAGAGGAAGGCCCCCCCACACUGGUACUGAGACACGGACCAGACUCCUACGGAAGGCAGCAG
rnacentral:rRNA from 1 species